rnacentral:rRNA from 1 species
UCGACCGCCUGGGGAGUACGGCCGCAAGGUUAAAACUCAAAUGAAUUGACGGGGGCCCGCACAAGCGGUGGAGCAUGUGGUUUAAUUCGAUGCAACGCGAAGAACCUUACCUACUCUUGACAUCCAGAGAACUUAGCAGAGAUGCUUUGGUGCCUUCGGGAACUCUGAGACAGGUGCUGCAUGGCUGUCGUCAGCUCGUGUUGUGAAAUGUUGGGUUAAGUCCCGCAACGAGCGCAACCCUUAUCCUUUGUUGCCAGCGGUCCGGCCGGGAACUCAAAGGAGACUGCCAGUGAUAAACUGGAGGAAGGUGGGGAUGACGUCAAGUCAUCAUGGCCCUUACGAGUAGGGCUACACACGUGCUACAAUGGCAUAUACAAAGAGAAGCGACCUCGCGAGAGCAAGCGGACCUCAUAAAGUAUGUCGUAGUCCGGAUUGGAGUCUGCAACUCGACUCCAUGAAGUCGGAAUCGCUAGUAAUCGUGGAUCAGAAUGCCACGGUGAAUACGUUCCCGGGCCUUGUACACACCGCCCGUCACACCAUGGGAGUGGGUUGCAAAAGAAGUAGGUAGCUUAACCUUCGGGAGGGCGCUUACCACUUUGUGAUUCAUGACUGGGGUGAAGUCGUAACAAGGUAAGUAUU